rnacentral:tRNA from 1 species
UUCCGGAUAGCUCAAUUGGCAGAGCGCUGUACUGGCAACAGUACAAAGGUGGCGGUUCGAGUCCGUCUCCGGGGC